rnacentral:rRNA from 1 species
UACGAAGGGUGCGAGCGUUACUCGGAAUUACUGGGCGUAAAGCGUGCGUAGGGGGUGAGUUAAGUCUGUCGUGAAAGCCCCGGGCUCAACCUGGGAAUGGCGAUGGAUACUGGCUCGCUAGAGUGCGGUAGAGGAGAGUGGAAUUCCCGGUGUAGCAGUGAAAUGCGUAGAGAUCGGGAGGAACAUCAGUUGCGAAGGCGGCUCUCUGGACCAGCACUGACACUGAGGCACGAAAGCGUGGGGAGCAAACAGG